AUAAGAAUCGUUUGCCUUUGAAUAUAUAAUCGUAACCAGCCCAAGUGCCUUUGUAUUGGAUGAAGAGUAUUAAUUAAUCGACUAUGUAAUGUAAUCGUAAUUUCGUAACGUAAUUCGAAUAUCCUUUAUCAUUUUCUUUUUUUUAUCGUACAUUCAAAAACAAUCGUAUAGUAAGUUGUUGAACGUAAAUAACGUUUAGUCUUAAGACCUAGUGUUAGGAUUAUUAGUAUUAAGAACCAUGAACCAAUUUAUCGUUUUUGCUGAAUUAAAUAUGAGGGCACCUUUUGAGAAUGUAGCGCAGCGGUUGUUUAAGGGUGGAGUAUGAUGUGACUUCACAGGUAGGGUGGGUAUAGAAGGAGGCCAUUACACUUUCUCGUCCGAAUCUUAACCGUUGGGAUGAAAUUCUUAUCGUUAUCGUCUCUCUGUCUACUACUUUUAGUUCUGUGGCACUAUUUGUCUAUCUUAGCACAAUCC